AGAGAAGCUGCACUGACGAUGGGAGUAUCAAUAGUCAUCAUCUGCAUUGUUACAGGUAGUGCGAGUUUAAUGUGUGUGUCAGGACAUGAAAGACCUGAGGUAAAAUCUCUUUCACAGGUAACAACUCACCAGUGAAGCUCACAGCACAUCCUGGAUGCUCUGUUACCAUCCAGUGCAAGUAUUCAGGAGCAGACACAACCAACCCU